AAAUCCCCCUACAUUCAUCGCUGCUAAAGACCGUCAUCUAUUAUCUAUCCUCAUUUCCUACCAAAAAAGAUAUAGAUGGCGAAUUUCCGCCAUCUAAUAUGAAAAUUUUCGCGGGAACUGAAAAUUUUUAGAUGGCGGACAUCCGCCAUCUAAAAUGUGACGUGAAAAAAUUUGGCGUCAAUUCAUCGAUGACGGUUAAUUUUAUUGAUGGCGGAUGUCCGCCGACUAUCUUUGUAACAUUAGAUAUCAUAAGUACGUUAGGCGGUUGCCUGCGUAUAUAGAUGGUGGAUGUCCGCCAUCUAUAACUGGGAGAGGGCGGUUGGGUCCAUAUAUAGAUGGCGGACGUUCGCCAUCUAAACCUUAAUAAAAUAGUAUGGACGGCGGAUUUUCGGAAUACAAUGUUUGUGCAAUUUUUUUAAAAAACAGGCUAUUUAAAGCGUUCGAAUCGUUAUUUCUUUGAAUUAG
rnacentral:lncRNA from 1 species